AGCAGCCGCGGUAAUUCCAGCUCCAAUAGCGUAUAUUAAAGUUGCUGCAGUUAAAAAGCUCGUAGUUGAAUUUCGGGACUAAUAUGUCGGUCGUGCCUCGGUACGUACUGGCUUAUUGGUUUCUCCUUUCUGAAGAACCAUGAUGUCAUUAAUUUGGUGUUAUGGGAAAUCAGGACUGUUACUUUGAAAAAAUUAGAGUGUUUAAAGCAGGCAUUAGCUUGAAUACAUUAGCAUGGAAUAAUGAAAUAGGACGUUCGAACCUAUUUUGUUGGUUUUUAGGAUCAACGUAAUGAUUAAUAGGGAUAGUUGGGGGCAUUAGUACUCAAUUGUCAGAGGUGAAAUUCUUGGAUUUAUUGAAGACUAACUACUGCGAAAGCAUUUGCCAAGGAUGUUUUCAUUAAUCAAGAACGAAAGUUAGGGGAUCGAAGACGAUCAGAUACCGUCGUAGUC
rnacentral:rRNA from 1 species